UUCGAGUAAGUGAUAUUUCGGAACAGAAUCUAGUUCCUUCGAUACCAAUGUAUUCUAGUAAUAUGAAUUUUUUUUUUUUUUCUGUGUUGGUGUAGUGUACUCAGGUGAAUAUGAUAUUUGUGGUGUUACUCUGAGUGUAUAUCCACACUGGGCGAGCUUGAAAAAUAUGCCCGGCCACGGUGGGAUUCGAACCUACAAGCUUUGGAAUACUAGCCCAAUGCUCUUCCAACUGAGCUACGCGGUCAGGACGUUUCGAGUAUGUGAUAUUUCGGAACAGAAUCUAGUUCCUUCGAUGCCAAUGUAUUCUAGUAAUAUGAAUUUUUUUUUUUUUUUUCUGUGUUGGUGUAGUGUACUCAGGUGAAUAUGAUAUUUGUGGUGUUACUUUGAGUGUAUAUCCACACCGGGCUAGCUUGAAAAAUAUGCCCGGCCACGGUGGGAUUCGAACCUACGACCUUUGGAAUACUAGCCCAAUGCUCUUUCAACUGAGUUACGCGGUCAGGACGUUUCGAGUAAGUGAUAUUUCGGAGCAGAAUCUAGUUCCUUCGAUACCAAUGUAUUCUAGUAAUAUGAAUUUUUUUUUUUUUUUUUUUUUUUU
rnacentral:tRNA from 1 species